CCCUUAGAUGUUCUGGGCCGCACGCGCGCUACAAUGAUGAAUUCAACGAGUUUAUAACCUUGGUUGAAAAGCCUGGGUAAUCUUUUGAACUUUCGUCGUGAUGGGGCUAGACCCUUGCAAUUAUUGGUCUCCAACGAGGAAUUCCUAGUAAACGCAAGUCAUCAGCUUGCAUUGAUUACGUCCCUGCCCUUUGUACACACCGCCCGUCGCACCUACCGAUUGGGUGUGCUGGUGAAAUGUUCGGAUCGGCCGUUUGUCGCGGUUUCCGCGUCAUGUGGCUGAGAAGUUCAUUAAACCCUCCCACCUAGAGGAAGGAGAAGUCGUAACA
rnacentral:rRNA from 1 species